rnacentral:rRNA from 1 species
AGGCCGACAAUUCCCCCCCAAGGUGGUAAAUGGAAUUUUUCUGUAACGGUAGAAUGUGUGGAUAGAAAAUAGAACCCCAAAGGCAAAAGCAAUUUACCUCGGGGAAGGGGGGUGAAAAUCUGAUAUUCCCGAUCGGGACCUAUCACUCCACCCCCCCGAGCACAGGCUGAAACACGAGGGUGUGGGUAACAAACAGGAUUAGAGACCCUGGUAGUCCACACUGUAAACGAUGAAGAAAAUGUUAAUGCAACCCCGAAAGGUAGUAAUCUUCCGCCUGAGUAGUACGAUCGCAAGAUUAAAAUUCAAAAAAUUUGGCUGUUCACUGUUUCGAUUAGAGGAGCGUGUAGUUUAAUUCGAUAAACCGCGAGAUACCUUACCCAAACUUGAAUCACCCAUCCGAGAUUGAAUGGUCUCGGGAGGGUAGACCGGUAUUGCAUGGCCGUCGUCAGUUCGUGUAUGAAACCUUUAACGGACCUAACCCGGGGGGUUAGCCGCGGAUGAAGUCAGGUCUUAUGAUCCCUAUGUUUGGGGAUAAUAUGCGCUACAUUUUCUUAUACAAUGGG